AUUAAGAAAUUGGUUUUACUGUGUUGACGCAAGCGAGGUGGACGAGACGUAGAAGCGCUGGGAUACUUAAGGCGAUGUGCUGCUGCCUGGGCCAUGUUACUCCGGGUGACUUCGGCCGGAGCAGACUAACCUAGCGCCUCAUCAGCUAAGGAAACAAGGGAAGAUGCGUGCUGCCACCUUCCCCCUCGCCCUCGUCUUGACUUCCUGCGUCGCCCUCCUGCACGCGUCCCCACACUCCUAUUCUUCUUCCUCCUGCUACCCUCCCGUAUGCAGGAUCAUCGAGGGGCAGGAGUUUCGGUGCAAGGACAUCAACAACUGGCAUGAGUACUACCGCCACCCCACUAACAAGCACCUCUACGUCCAGUGCACCGGCAGUGGGCCAAUGGUGAGGAGGUGCGCGCCCGGUACAGCCUGGGGCUCGGACACCUUCGUGAACUGGAAUGGGGAACGCCUGCCCGACUGUAAGCGCAGCCGUGACUAAGGACCCGAGAAAAGAAAAAAUGAGAGCGCCUCCUGGUAAUCAUAAGACCUCCCUCUCCACCUCCUCCUGUUCCUCCUCCUUCUCCUCUUCCUCCUCCUCCCUUUAAGUUAACAGGUCGCCGCCUCUAAGCCCCCCCUGUCGCUGUUGCUGUCGCCGAGAAGAAAACGAGAGACCGGGAGCAACACGACAGCCAGGACCAAUUCGCCGCCCUGCCCCGACGACCCAUCUUAAUUUCCCGACGCGGCGCCGUGUUGCGAAAGAAUUAAGAGAAAGUAAUGAACAUGGAGGACACGGAUGUUAUGGGCGCACGUGUGAUGGGGAGGAGGUGGGGGGAAGGAUGUAGUGAGUGUGUGUGUGUUUGAAGGGGGGUAGGGGUGUGUGUAUACAAGCAUGACUAUAAUAAUAACAACAGUGGAAUAAAAGGGAAGCGACAGAAAGAAGAAUUUUAACAAGAAAUAUGAGAACGUUAAGAACUACUAUUAACAAAAGCAUGUGAGUCUCUAGCAACAACAACAAAGACAGAAAGAAGGACAGUAAACAACUUAUAAAUACGAACGGGAAAAGAAAAGAAAAACCCAGCCCAAAAACAAAGGAGCAUCGAGCAUAAAACAAAAGAAAACAAGGGGAAAUAUUGUCGGGAAAAUACUAGAGAGAAACUAAGAAAUGCAAGAAAUGAUUAGAUUUUAUAACCAAUAGCGAGAAGCAGUUUAAAAUAUAACAAUGAAACUAAUCUAAUAAAGGAAAACAAUAAGGAAAGGAAGGAAGGGAAGGAGAGGAAGGAUUAAGGAGGGAAGGAAGGAAGGAAGAAAAUUAUAAAGUAUAACAAUGGAGGUCGAAUAAAAUUGAGCAAGACUA